rnacentral:lncRNA from 1 species
UAUAUUUAUUGUCACUAGCUGAGUGUACGUGCAAAUGUAUGUAACAAUUAUUUUAAUUUAUUUCAAAUCAAUAAAAAUUUAUAAAUCAUAUUUAUCAACAAAUUUAGAAUAAAAUUUAUAUUAUAAAUUUAAUUUUUUGAUCCAUUAUAUAAUUCAAAAUUUUUAAUUGUUAAUUUAUGUUUAAUAUCAAAAUUUAAAAAUUAAAUCUAAAUCACGAUUUAAACUCAAAUUUAAAUUUUAAUGUAAAAUAGAUGGAUCAAAGUGCUAUUUUUUAACAGAUUGAUUAUAAUCGUUUAUUUUUAUUUGAAAUAUUUUUAACAGAUUGAUCAUAAAUGUUCGUAGAAUUAAAUUUAUUGAUAGAUUUGAAUGUUUUUUUUAACAGAUUGAUCAAAUUAUAACCGUUCAUUCUUAUUUAAAAUAUUUUUUUUACAAAUUAAUCAUAAUCGUUAGUAAAAACUUCCUUCUGUUAUUCUAAUAUACUUAAUAUAUAGUACAUAUUUUGGCUAGUAAUACAAAUUUAAAAAAUUAAUUUUGAAUACCACGUGAUUGGCAGGUAUUACAUUAGAUAGAGCAUAAAUUUAAUUAAUAUUUAAAUUAUCAUAUUAACGGGUAUUAAUUAUAAAUUUAAAAUAUAAUUUUGAAUACUACGUGAUUGGCAGGUUUAAUGUUUGAGAAAGAAAAUAUUUGAGAAAACGCGAAAAUAGAAGAUAAAUUUAAUUUUACGUAUUACGUUAUUGGCGGGUAAUACAUUAGGUAGGAGAUAAAUUUAAUUUUACAUAUUACUUAGCAGGUAAAAUUUACGUAUUACGUGAUUGGCGGGUAUUACGUUAGAUAGGAGAUAAAUUUAAUAAAAAUUUAAAUUAUCAGAUUGGCGACUAUUAAAUUUUGGCAAGCAAUAUAAAUUUUAAUUUUAAUUUUAAGUAUUACGUGAUUAGCGGGUAUUACGUUAGAUAUAAGAUAAAUUUAAUUAAAAUUUAAAUUAUCAGAUUAGCGGGUAUUAAUUAUAAAUUUAAAACAUAAUUUUGAAUGCUACUUGAUUGGCAUGUAUUAUGUUUGAGAAAGAAAAUAUUCGAAAAAACGCGUAGAUAAAAAAUAAAUUUAAUUUUACGUAUUACGUUAUUGGCGGAUAUUACGUUAGAUAGGAGAUAAAUUUAAUUUUACAUAUUACGUGAUUGGCAGGUAAAAUUUACGUAUUACGUGACUGGCGGAUAUUACGUUAGAUAACAUAUAAGUUUAAUUAAGAUUUAAAUUAUCAAAUUGACGAAUAUUAAAUUUUGGCGGAUAUUAUAAAUUUAAAAUUUAAUUUUGAGUAUUACGCAGGUAUUAUAUUUGAGAAUGAAAAUAUUUAAGAAAACUCAUAAAUAGGAGAUAAAUUUAAUUUUACGUAUUAUGUGAUUGGUGGGUAGAAAGAAAAUAUUUGAAAAAUGUGUAAAUAGAAGAUAACUGAUAUAGAGGGUACUUUUGUCAACAAAAAGUGACAGAUAUUUUUAUUUUUUUUUUCGUUGGAUGUGAUCCAAUAGUAAAAACGUAAGAUCUAUAUUUGAGAAUAAAUUAUUAUUUGAAAAUUUAUUUGAAAUGAAUGGUUGAAAAUUACAUGACGUGAAAAUAUUAGUAAAAAAGAUAAAGAUAUUUUUGAAAAAUAAAAAAAUUUCGAACUCACGCUUUUAUAAGUAAUAUAGACUAGGGGUGACAAUCCAACCGGCUGAUGUUUGGUUCGAAAUGAAUUCGAAAUCAAUCGCUCAUUUAAUAAAUAAGUUAAAUACGAACUAAUUUUUUCAUUUUAAUGAGCUAACUCGUGUUUGACUCGUUUAAUGAACGAACGAAUUAACAUGAAUAGCCUCUAUUU